CUCUUGCAGUGCCAAGAAGGCUAUAGCUAGAACCUCAUGCAAAUGCCAGUGAUGGAUCCAGAAUUCACCAUGAGCCCUUGAACAUCAGGGAUCUUGUUGAACAUGCUUAGAUAUCAGUGACAUGACCGUGGAGCAGCCUGCUGAGAAGGAAGCACAGGCAUCUUGAGAGGCAAAC